rnacentral:tRNA from 1 species
GGCCCUGUGGCCUAAUGGCUGGGGUGUCUGACUUCUAAUCAGAAAAUUGCAGGUUCGACCCCUGCCUGGGUCA